GGGCUUUCUUUCCGCGCGGCGCUUCAGAGCGCGGCGGGUCGGAGGGGGAGUUGCGCGUGGCGGGUCGGAGGGACCGCCGCGAAGCCUUUCCCCCCCCCCCCAUCGCUCUGUCCUCGCGGUGGGACGUUAAUUAGAUAAAUACAAAUCGGAAAAAUAAUUAGAGGAUAUUAUUUUUCUUUGUCCUUUGAAUUGCACGCGAGGGGGUCCGUUGUGUCCGGGGGAAGGAAGGUUUGCUAGUAACCGCCUCGCUCGUUUGCACGGGAGGCGGAGAGGAUUCGUGCCUUUAAUUCUGGCGAAAGAGGCGAGCAUCGGGCUCGUUGGGAGGGGAUGAUGUGUGUUGUAGUCUGCGUGGGUGAAGGGCACAUGGCUGGGGAUUUGCUUCCCCUAACUGCUUGCUUUUGAAGAGCUGCAUGCAACGAAGCUUCCCCUUUUAAGAAUGCGUAUGCAAUGUUUGGAACAUGGAGUCCCAAAAUUUGAGGAAACAAAUUUCUCCUGGAGGAUAACCAGGUAUGUUCUUAAAAGGCCAAACAUUCGUGCUGUGGAUUCUUCAUCGAUUUUUUUUCAUGUUGUAGAAAACUCAACUUUCAUCUGAUUUUUCCAUCUGUUUUUUAAAAACUUAACCCCGCUUAAUGGAUCAGAUUUCCAAGGGAAAUGGGGAAAUGAACUUCAAGGUUUGUCAAAAGUAUAGAAGUCAACUUCUUGUAUUUUACUGAGUUUAUUUAUAAUAAAGAAAUACCUUAAUGUUG